rnacentral:misc_RNA from 1 species
AGAAAGCCAACUUUGGCUAAGGGAUGAUAUGAGGAGUUCAAAUUUUAGAGAGAUAUAGGUAGAGAGUAGAUGUAUUGUGCCACCACACAUAGGGGGAGACCAGGACACGAGAGAUUAAAGCUUUUAAACAACAGCUGUGUAUCUUCUUACAGCAUUUCUUUGACUUAUUCCUGGACCAUAUUUUGUCUGUAAAUAUCAAGAGCAGAAGGAUCUUCAUUAUUUUGUCCAACUUCAGAUCUCAGUGCAUGUAGUAGUAUUUGGAUUCUGGGCCAGUUGGACCCUUGAAAUGCAUCUGUUGUGGGCACUUGACAGUUGGCACUGGUCAUAUAUAGCAUAAUUAUUGAUGAGAGAGAGAGGGGGAAGAGAG